rnacentral:rRNA from 1 species
UACGAGGGGUGCAAGCGUUGUUCGGAAUCACUGGGCGUAAAGGGAGCGUAGGCGGAAUCGCAAGCGGAUUGUACAAUACCGGGGCCCAACCCCGGACCUGCAGUCCGAACUGCGGUUCUUGGAUAGUUCAGGGGCAGGCGGAAUUCCUGGUGUAGCGGUGGAAUGCGUAGAGAUCAGGAAGAACACCGAUGGCGAAGGCAGCCUGCUGGGGACUUAUCGACGCUGAGGCUCGAAAGCGCGGGUAG